CAUUUAGUACCUAACUUUUGCCAGGAAACACAAGGAAUUAUUUUUUCUUCUAUAGAUUAAAUGAAUCCUGUAUAAUAUAACUGGAAUUUAUCCACUUCUGGCUCCCAUUAAGCUUUUGAUUUCAAGAGUAUCCAGAGGCAAUGAGUUUCACGUGUUACAUAAAAAUGUACUUCCUUUUAAUUGUUUAAAAUUCACUGGCUCUAAGAUGUAUUCAGUUCUUGUACUAGGAAAAAAUAUCCUGAUCUUCAAGUCUCUGUAGAGUCCUUUCCUCAUUGAUCUCUGUACUGAUGUCAUCCUCUAUCUUCUGCAUACUUUUAUCUUUUCUUCUUCUGUCUCUCUUUUCUCUCAGCUUCAUGCUGCUUUCGGAUGCUCAGAUCUCCUCCUUUUUCUUCAGAUCUUUUUUUUGAAAAUCCACUUCCCUUUGUGAACCUUAUUACCUGACGGUCUCCUAAUGGUAUCCAGCUCUGCAGCCUUCUAGACCGUUUUCCAGGGAAUUGCCUUCCUGUGAGUUAAAAGUUCUUAGACCUUGUCUUCCCAAAUAUGCUUGUGUUGCAUGACAUGCCUCACACUCUGCAUGAUUGCCAACCUCGUUACGGUGUCCUUAAUUAUUGCGAUGCCUUACAAAUAAGCUGUAAAAUAUUACUUUUAAAUAAUAUUAUAGGUAUUUUUACCCAUCUUGAGAACAUAUCCUGGAACUCUAUGAAGAAUAUGUUACACUACACAUACAAUGCUAUGUUUACAGAAAAAUCAGCUCUUGUGAUCUACGUAAGUAUUGUAUUAAGACAGUGUGACUGAAAAAUUAUCAGAGUAAAGACCAUCAACCAUAGCCACAAUGUGGUAUAUGAGGCAUAGCAAGGAUGGCACCUUGUAACAAAGUGUUGUGGGUUUUGCUUGUUGUUUUAAUAUUUUUGUACUAGGCAUAAAGACUAUGAGUAAGUGAAUAUGCUUAGAAAAACAUUGCAGAAUAUUUGCGUCAGCUAUGAAGUUUCUAAACAUCUGGUAUUGAAGAAAAGGUUCAUCAAUUUGUUUAAAGCCAUUAACCAAUACACAGUUUAUAACUUACUUCAGCAUUAGAGUAAUAAAACCUGUUGUGAGCUCCCCUAUAUGGUGUCAUUCUAAUUUAAAACAAAUAUUUUUUGUUUUAUGACUUCACCUUUUCCAUGUUUCCAGUCACACAGUGUUCCUUUUUCGUCUGACUUUGCAUUUCUUUUGAUUUAUACUCCCCUGAACUGUAGGCUGACAUAAAGGGUCCUUUAGGUUGAAUGAAAGAAGAAUUAUCAAUUGCCCAAACUAAGAUUUAUCAAGAAAAAAAAAGUAAAGGGUAAAAAAAAAGAAAACUAGCUUACUCAACAUACAAAAAUCAAAUUAAAAUUUUCUCUGUAUUUUUUGUAAGUUCAGUAUGAAGGGCUCAUUUAGACCUGUCUGGUUUUACGUUUUAUUGUGAGUUGUGUUGGAUUCUAUCAUAUUGAUUGCUACUGCCUACUCCUUUAGUCCUUGAACAGACAGAUAUUAAUGAAUGGAAGUACUGAAAGGGUGAAUAUACUUAGUCCCUCUGAGUACCAGUGGCAGAACAUGCUCAAUAGUUUACACUUUGGCACAGGCACCACUUUCUACAGCAGCCUGAUCUGAAGUCAAGGGCUUGUUAUUCCUUAGCAUUUCACAGACAGCAUGCAUAAAGCUGUCUUGAUUGUAGAGGUUUUUUGGUUUGAGUUUUUGGUCUUUUGGUUUUUUGUUUCUUUUGAGAGAAGGACGUUGUGGAAUUUUUUGACUUGGGUUUGGGGUUUUUUCGAUUUUUUUUUUUGUUGUUAACAUUGUCAAUGAUUGAUGAGGAAUUGUGCAAUCUCUUCUCUUGGCUAUAUACACCUGAAUAAGAUUUAUUUACCAGAUUUAUAAGUAUAGUUGUCAUUUCGACUGCAAGGCUUUAGGAGUAUCUACUUCUGAGUAUUUGUCAUUCCUGGUGCCUGGCAGAGGCAAAGCUACUUAAUAUAGGCUGUUGCUUAAUUCUGCACUGAACAAGUCUUGAGGACCCUUCACAUUUCUGCUGCUUUACUUUAUUUCUAAGGCUCUGACAAUCAGAAUGAAGCUGAGUGCAUAGUUUUAUUUUGGAGUGUUGAAGAUAACAGUAUAAAGCUCCAACAACAGCUCUCUUGCUCUUAGCUUCUGCAGUACUGUAGCUUUAAACACUGGCUUUAGUCAUAAUAUACACCAUAUACAUUACUCACUAGCAUUAUUGUUUAGAUAAAGAUGAAACUAGAUUAUUUUACAGGUUUCUCAUGGGUAAAGAGGUUUAAUCUGUCCCAUAAAUAGCCCUUCGUAAGACACGAAACACAAUGUUUCAUGGAAUUUGAUGACACCCUGCUCGUAGGUGCGAUAUACGGUGCUGCAGUCAGCUGUAGCAUCCUAAACAGUUUAGGAUGCUGUGUCUGUAGGAGAUGACUUUUCUUCCAUGGUUUGAAAUCAGCCUACACCUUCAGAGCAGUGUUGAAUGUUACUUAGCUUGGAGCCAGAGACUGAGGUCUCAGCUGAGAAUUCCUGAUCUUGGAAUUUGUUUUUCCUACAAAAUCACAGGUUUUAAACCCAGAUGGUUGUUCUAAUUAGCUAGUCUAAUUGACCUGUCAAAGAGAAAAAAUUAACUUGUAAUUCCUGUACUGACGGCAAUAAUUUCUGUUCUGGGUAAAGCAUAUAUUUUAAAAUUAGCACCAAAUCUGAAUGUAAAGACAACAUUCCACCAGUCUUGAAAAUUUACUAAAUCCUCAGAUAUAUCGUUACACUGAUUAGUUACCAUUUUGUUUAAACGCUGCUAUGUCAUGAUCCUCAUUUGCUUUCAUUUGUGUAUUUGUCCAAAAGAGCUUGACUGUUAGUGUUACAGCACAGUAAAGGCCCACGAUCACUUCCCCAGAAUGUUUUGUGAAGACAGAAGGGGGACCAUGUGGUGGGAGGUGUCACAGAACUUUAUUACAUGACCUAACAUUUGAUUGCUUUGGGGGUUUUCUGGUGACCUCCGUUUAAACAUUGGAAAAAUAACUGUUAGAUCCACCCCAUCUGUAGUUCAGGGCUACCAGAUAGGAAGGAAUAAAGCUCCAUAGCAUUUGGGAGUGGAAGGGGAUGCCUUAAUCCAUAAGAGAUGGGUACAACUCAGAUUCACAGGUACUAUAUUUAUUUUGCAGCUGAUGGAGGGGACAGGAGCAGCUGUAUGGAUUAUGUGAGGGAUGGUCUGCCUUCUGACUGCGUGGCUGUCUUGUGAAUAGACUAUCUGGAAAGGCCGUCUGGAUAUCCACAAAAAGCACGUAUGACUGUGGAUAUGUAAGCCAGUAUGUUGAGGGUCACAGAAUGCCAGGUCCUACAGUUGGUCCUGAAGGCAGCUGAAUGACCCUAAUGCUGGAGUAGAGAGAGAGAAGCUCAGGGAGGGCCAAUUUUCCAGUGUCCUUUCCUCCUGUAUGCUCAUUUUUGAUCCAGAGAAUAGCUAAUCAUCUCUCUAGAAGAAUUAAUACUACAUUCUUCGUGUCAGUUAGGAUUUCCCAAAAGAAACAGCCUCUUCUGGAAUUUAAGUCCCAAGUAAUUGUCGAAAAUCAUGUACCAUGACAAUACGACCACCAACAUAAACCAAGAUUUCCAUUCUGAUUCCUUCCUUUUUCUUCAACAUCUUUUAAACUGAUUCUAAAUUUUGUCGUUUAAUUUGUGGAGUGAAUCUUAAAAGAUUUGAUUUACAUAUACAUUCAGGGGGUAAUAAUGAACCUAAAAGCAUAAAAUGGGUAGAGAAAAACUGUUAAGAUCUUGACAAUAUCAGUUUAGGCUCAACAUUCAUUUUGGGCAAAGACAUAAAUUACCUGCAACUGACCCUCCCCAAACACACCUCAUACACACCACUCACUGUAAAUGAGUAACAAUCUUCCUCAGCUCAUUUUUUGACAGAACACUACAUUGAGUAUGGAGACCUCCUUACAGUUCUGAUGGUGACCCGCUGUUCUGACCUUAGGAAAACGUUCUGCCCCUGCUACGGACAAGACUACUGCCAGUUCUGCCGGAACAGGGCAAACUUCCAGACAAACAAAAUGAAAUUCACAAAGGAAACAGUUAAAUUUUCUGCCUGCCUUCACUGUCAUAGAAAAUGCUAAACACAUUUGUAAGUUAUAUAAAACUGAGUCAGUUCAUAUUUUCCCCUCCUGGUUUCUAAGCCCAUAACAGCAAAAGGACCUUGGGACAUCUCUAAUCUCUCAAGAGUUUAGCAGUAAAAAUAAAAAUCCCCAGCAGAAAACAACACUCUACACCCUCCCACUGCUGAGCAAACGAGUUUCCCGUUUUUCUCACUUCUCCUCAGACUAAACAAUGUUAAAUUUACAAAUGUGACAGCUAUUUAUAGCAAGGACUCUCCCCUAGGAACCACAGAGGUUUGGUCUAUAUCAUUGUCCAUAAUCCACAGGAUGGCUUUCAACCCAACACGUCAAGUAAUUAGAAGAGUAACCUCCUGCCUUAACCGAUGCAGCGAGGCAUGCUACAGCCCUACGCUGGAUGGUGUGCAUGGGCAGGGGGGGGUGUUCCUCAGCUGUAAAUUAACCUCUGAUUUCAUUUUUUUCUUGUUUGCCACGAAUAGUAAUCGAUAACGUUACGAGCAUCGUGCCCUCUAGCAGCAGUGUGCAGAACACGAGGAAGCAGCCUGCUGCGUAGGUGCUGCAGGGGAGGCAAAUUAAUGGAUAUCCAACAGUGCUGAUAAUCCUCACAGCAGACACUGAAGGAAUUAAACUGCUGAGUUGCACCUGCAGUGAGGGGAAAGGGGGCUAAAAAGCCACAUGGGGAGCAGUGGAAUAACCGGUGUGAGGCUGUGAAAACAGCAGAAGGCAGUUCAGAUACAUAAGUGCAGGGCAUGAGGGGAAGGAAAGGAUUAAAGGAGGAAAGGUCUCAAGUUAGUUUGCUAGGCUGGAUUUGAGGAAGUGGGUAAAGGCAUAAAUAGAAGGUGGUGGGAACCGGCAUCGGCUGAGCCUGGACUGGGGAAGGUGUGGUACUGGAUUGGGCUCUGCAGACUGGGCUCAGGGGAGAGCAGAGAAGAGGUUUAGUGAAAAACUGUCUCUUUCCUUUUCUCCCUGAAGCAGCAAGGAAAAGGCAUUUAGGCUGUGUACUUGAAAGCUCUUCAUCCACAGUCUGUAUGCUGCUUCAUCCACUCAUCUCAGUAGACACGGCAAAGAAGCAGAAUGGCAGGAGAGAGAAAAAUCAGAACCUCAGUGCACAAGAGUCCCUUCCAGUCUCCCGAGAACAGCGUGGAGUAAUUCAUUACCAGUGGAAUUCAGUAAAGCAGCUCCCAGGUGCUCUCAGUUGGGCUAUUUACUGAGCCCAAACACCUUCCUUUGUGCAUCCAGUCACACUUCUUCAUCUUCCCAACCAUGUUUGUAACCCUCUGAAUCUGGGGAAACUGCUUGUGCUGGUCUCAAACUGCUCAAGCGAAAAGAAAUGAGACUAGGAAGGGAGUGGAGGAUGCAGCUCCAGGCAGCCCCGGGCCACACAUCCCCAUGGUGGCCCUGAAAAUGGAAGCACCAAGGAGCAGCAGCACCCUUACUGCUGAACAAAGCAUUAAACGAGCCUCUCUGUCCAAUUCUGAGAGCCACGUCUUUUAGCACAGAUGUUAACAAGAUUGUUACCAUGUGAUUUCUUAGCUGUCUGUUUAAAACCUUCAUGAGACAAACCUCAAAGGUCUGGGAUGUGAAGGCAGAUGCAUUGGAAUCAGAAAUGUGGUUAAAUGAAAGUUCAUCAUUAAGGUAACAUUUUCAGAAACAGCUAAAUGCCACUUUUAAAACUGAUUUUCUCGGUCAGACUAAGAUCUCCAAAGGGGAAUGCAGUAUUGAGGAUAAGAUUCCCUUUUACAGCUUCCAGGAUGAAGACAAAGCAGCAUGAAGUGGGGAGCUGGAAAACUCUGGCUUGCCCCUCUCUGUUCUGUAUAGAGGCAGGGAAAUAAGGCAGGUUAUGCAGAGAGCAGAGGCAACACAUGGGACAAAGCCUAAAACAGAACAGAAUUAGAAGAGAGCAUAUCUGACAAAAUUAUGUAGAGAUUUCCUAGUUUCCACUUGUAUUUAAAGUUAUUUUGCAUUUCACAUCUGCAGUUUUAUUUUGUGGCCCCGUUAGUUCAGUUUUCACGCGUGAAAAAGUCUUACGUGUUUCUAAAACAACAACUAUGCUUUUAAAAGAAUAUUCCCCCCACCCACCAGAUUAUAACAGACGUGCAAUAUUAAUUUAGGGUGAGUGGGCACAGAUGUUAUCAAAAUCACCCUCUUACCUGCCAACUCCACCCAAUUUUCCAGUGCUUGGGUAUUUUCUUCCGCUGCUGUGUGGAAUUUCUUAUUGUAAUGUUCUUAUUUUUUUGGCUUUUUUUUGGCUUUUUUUUUCCCCUCUGAUGUUUUAUCCAGUUGCUAAGCAUACAGCCUCUUCCUCUGAUCUGGUGUCUGAGCUAGAACAACACUUCAUGACAAUUAUUGAGAAGUAGCCUCUGAAGAUGUGAUAUGAUUAGGGCGAGGGGCCAGGGACUUGUGCUGAGUGCUGGAAGAGCACUUCAUAACCGCCACAAAU